rnacentral:lncRNA from 1 species
AGCAACUGCAAGAAGAACUAUAUCAUCAACUAGCUAUAUCUUCUUUAAUUGAUUUUGGAAGGCACAAAGAAUAAGUUUCCAGAAAAAACAAGAACAUGAUCAUGGAUCUUUUUAAUACUAUCCCAUUGUUGUUUUCCAGUGGCCUCCUUGCCUUGAUAUUUAGCCCAUCAAAUCUCUGGGCACAAGGGACUGCUCUUUAUUCAAUCCUGUCAUAACUCUGCAAAACCUUCCCCUUCUGAUCUCCUCUCGGUUGUGAAUGAUCCCUGGAAAUACUUCGGGGAGUACUGGGAACUGACACCGGCAGAGCUGACCAAUGGGGCUAUGAGAAACCUUGUCCCAUUCUGGCUGAGGGUGCUGAAGUAGGAAGGCGUGUUGGAACUACUGAGAGCAGAGAACUCAACACACACAAAGAAUCCAAAAUUUGCUUUUACUCGGAGUCCUGAGAAGUUCUAAUUACACACUGUUCUAACAAGAACAAGCAGCAAAGAUGGCACAUAACUUACCCAACGUACCAGCAGUCUACCCAACUGUUCUCUGUCUUCAGGAACUCCUUU